UGCGUAGGCGGCCGUGCAAGUCUGGCGUGAAAGCCCCGGGCUCAGCCCGGGAAGUGCGCUCGAAACUGCACGGCUCGAGUGCCGGAGGGGAGAGUGGAAUUCCUGGUGUAGCGGUGAAAUGCGUAGAUAUCAGGAGGAAUACCGGUGGCGAAAGCGACUCUCUGGACGGCAACUGACGCUGAGGCACGAAAGCGUGGGAGCAAACA
rnacentral:rRNA from 1 species